AGUGAACGCUGGCGGUAGGCCUAACACAUGCAAGUCGAACGGCAGCACAGUAAGAGCUUGCUCUUACAGGUGGCGAGUGGCGGACGGGUGAGGAGUACAUCGGAAUCUACUUUUUCGUGGGGGAUAACGUAGGGAAACUUACGCUAAUACCGCAUACGACCUACGGGUGAAAGCAGGGGAUCUUCGGACCUUGCGCGAUUGAAUGAGCCGAUGUCGGAUUAGCUAGUUGGCGGGGUAAAGGCCCACCAAGGCGACGAUCCGUAGCUGGUCUGAGAGGAUGAUCAGCCACACUGGAACUGAGACACGGUCCAGACUCCUACGGGAGGCAGCAGUGGGGAAUAUUGGACAAUGGGCGCAAGCCUGAUCCAGCCAUACCGCGUGGGUGAAGAAGGCCUUCGGGUUGUAAAGCCCUUUUGUUGGGAAAGAAAAGCAGCAGGUUAAUACCCCGCUGUUCUGACGGUACCCAAAGAAUAAGCACCGGCUAACUUCGUG
rnacentral:rRNA from 1 species